AGGAUCAGGGAGGCAGGAGCAGCCGUCCCUCUCUAGUCCCUGUCUCAGCCCAGCCGCUGGGGUCUGCAUGGGGCUGGGAAAGCCACCCCCUCGUCAGUCCUCUCUGCGAACCCAUCCUCAUCCCAGGUUCCCCUCCCCCUGCCUCUGGCCCUGUCGUCUGGGAGCCCCUGAAGGUGUGACACCUCACACAGGGAUCGGAGAGCAGGAGCCCCGGGGGCCAGUCAGAGCUGGGUAGCCGUGGCAACCCCAUUGGAGAUGUAUGUUUGAAGAUAAUUGUAGGAAAUCCUCCACCCAACCCAGAGAAACCCUCUCCUGGUCAGCAGCAACCUUGGAGUACCCAACUACCUGACAGUGUUUUUCAGAAGUGUGGAGAGAGAGGCGCGUCAGAAACAUGAAACCUAUGAUAGCAGAGUGGAAGAAGAGAACAAGUCGUUAGCACUUUGAAACCAGACACCGGGAGGUAUCAGAUCC